rnacentral:rRNA from 1 species
UGGGGAACAUUGCACAAUGGCCGCAAGCCUGAUGCAGCCAUGCCGCGUGUGUGAAGAAGGCCUUCGGGUUGUAAAGCACUUUCAGCGGGGAGGAAGGCGUUAAGGUUAAUAACCUUGGCGAUUGACGUUACCUGCAGAAGAAGCACCGGCUAACUCCGUGCCAGCAGCCGCGGUAAUACGGAGGGUGCAAGCGUUGACCGGAAUUACUGGGCGUAAAGCGCACGCAGGCGGUCUGUCAAGUCGGAUGUGAAAUCCCCGGGCUCAACCUGGGAGCUGCAUUCGAAACUGGCAAGCUAGAGUCUUGUAGAGGGGGGUAGAAUUCCAGGUGUAGCGGUGAAAUGCGUAGGGAUCUGGAGGGAUACCGGUGGCGAAGGCGGCCCCCUGGACAAAGACUGACGCUCAGGUGCGAAAGCGUGGGGAGCAAACAGG